CCCUUAGAUGUUCUGGGCCGCACGCGCGCUACACUGUUGCAUUCAACGAGCCUAUCCUUGACCGACAGGUCCGGGUAAUCUUUGAAUCUGCAUCGUGACGGGGAUAGAUUAUUGCAAUUAUUAAUCUUCAACGAGGAAUGCCUAGUAGGCGCAAGUCAUCAGCUUGCGUCGAUUACGUCCCUGCCCUUUGUACACACCGCCCGUCGCUCCUACCGAUUGGGUGUGCUGGUGAAAUGUUCGGAUCGGCCGUUUGUCGCGGUUUCCGCGUCAUGUGGCUGAGAAGUUCAUUAAACCCUCCCACCUAGAGGAAGGAGAAGUCGUAACA
rnacentral:rRNA from 1 species